UACGUAGGGGGCCAGCGUUGCUCGGAAUUACUGGGCGUAAAGGGUUCGUAGGCGGUGUGGCAAGUCGGAAGUGAAAUCUCUGGGCUCAACCCAGAGGCUGCUCCCGAAACUGCCAUGCUAGAGUGCGGGAGAGGCGAGUGGAAUUACAGGUGUAGCGGUGAAAUGCGUAGAUAUCUGUAGGAACACCCGUGGCGAAGGCGGCUCGCUGGACCGCAACUGACGCUGAGGAACGAAAGCUAGGGGAGCAAAC
rnacentral:rRNA from 1 species